rnacentral:rRNA from 1 species
GCUCACGACGAACGCUGGCGGCGUGCUUAAAAGAAUCAAACGGUGACCUUCGGAGCUUGCUCUGGAGGAUAGGGGCAAACGGGUGAGUAACACGUGAGUAACCUGCCCCAGACUCUGGAAUAACCCCGGGAAACCGGAGCUUAUAUAAAAGGAAGACACCAAGCCGCAUGGUUAUGGUGUGGAAAGUUUUUCGGUCUGGGAUGGACUCGCGGCCUAUCAGCUUGUUGGUGAGGUAGUGGCUCACCAAGGCGACGACGGGUAGCCGGCCUGAGAGGGCGACCGGCCACACUGGGACUGAAACACGGCCCAGACUCCUACGGGAGGCAGCAGUGGGGAAUAUUGCACAAUGGGCGAAAGCCUGAUGCAACGACGCCGCGUGAUUUAUGUCUACCUACGUGCAGCAGCGCCGUAUACGUAGGGUGCGAGCGUGUCCUGAAUUAUUGGGCGUAAAGAGCUUGUAGGCGGUUGUCGCGUCUGCCGUGAAAAUCCGAGGCUCAACCUCGGACUUGCGGUGGGUACGGGCAGACUAGAGUGUGGUAGGGGAGACUGGAAUUCCUGGUGUAGCGGUGAAAUGCGCAGAUAUCAGGAGGAACACCGAUGGCGAAGGCAGGUCUCUGGGCCACUACUGACGCUGAGAAGCGAAAGCAUGGGGAGCGAACAGGAUUAGAUACCCUGGUAGUCCAUGCCGUAAACGUUGGGCGCUAGGUGUGGGACCCAUUCCACGGGUUCCGUGCCGCAGCUAACGCAUUAAGCGCCCCGCCUGGGGAGUACGGCCGCAAGGCUAAAACUCAAAGGAAUUGACGGGGGCCCGCACAAGCGGCGGAGCAUGCGGAUUAAUUCGAUGCAACGCGAAGAACCUUACCAAGGCUUGACAUACACCGGAAACAUCCAGAGAUGGGUGCCCCGCAAGGUCGGUGUACAGGUGGUGCAUGGUUGUCGUCAGCUCGUGUCGUGAGAUGUUGGGUUAAGUCCCGCAACGAGCGCAACCCCUGUACUUAGUUGCCCCCGGGUAAAGCCGUGGCACUCUAAGUAGACUGCCGGCGUUAAGCCGGAGGAAGGUGGGGAUGACGUCAAGUCCUCAUGGCCCUUAUGUCCAGGGCUACACACGUGCUACAAUGGGCGGUACAAAGGGUUGCGAGCCCGCGAGGGUUAGCCAAUCCCAAAAAGCCGCUCUCAGUUCGGAUUGCAGUCUGCAACUCGACUGCAUGAAGCUGGAAUCGCUAGUAAUCGCGGAUCAGCACGCCGCGGUGAAUACGUUCCCGGGCCUUGUACACACCGCCCGUCACACCAUGGAAGCCAGUUGUACCGGAAGCCGGUGCGCUAACCCGCAAGGGGGGCAGCCGUUCAUGGUAUGACUGGUGACUGGGGUGAAGUCGUAACAAGGUAGCCGUAGGGGAACCUGCGGCUGGAUCACCUCCUUAAUCGGAUCCCGGGCCCGUCGACUGCAGAGGCCUGCAUGCAAGCUUCCUGUAUAGUGACG